AUUGAACGCUGGCGGCAGGCCUAACACCAGCAAGUCGAGCGAGCGGCGGACGGGUGUGUAAUGUGUGGGAAACUGCCUGAUGGAGGGGGAUAACUACUGGAAACGGUAGCUAAUACCGCAUCCCAUCUGAUGUGCCCAGAUGGGAUUGGCUAGUAGGUGUGGUCACGGCUAACCUAGGCGACGAUCCCUAGCUGGUCUGAGAGGAUGACCCGCAAAACGUGAAAUGUGACACGGUGCAGACUCCUACGGGAGGCAGCAGUGGGGAAUAUUGCACAAUGGGCGCAAGCCUGAUGCAGCCAUGCCGGGCGUGUGAAGAAGGCCUUAGGGUUGUAAAGCACUUUCAGCGGGGAGGCGUUACCCUCAGAAGAAGCACCUGCUAACGCCGUGCCAGCAGCCGCGGUAAUUC
rnacentral:rRNA from 1 species